rnacentral:lncRNA from 1 species
CCUCUUCUUCCUCGUUCCAUUCCGCCGCCACCUCACAACCAGGAAAAAGUUCGGCACCGCCGCCGCCCUCUGGUCCGUCUCGCACCACUGCCGCCCUCUGGUCCGUCUCGCACCACCACCACCCACCUACUCUCUCAAAUUUCUCUCCAUCGUCACCGCCGCCUUCUAGCCCGUCUCGCACCACCGCCACCCACCUACUCCUUCAGUUUUCUCUCUCUCGUCACCGCCGCCGUCUGAUACCACCCAUUUCCUAGCGAGAGAGACAAAGAGAUGUUGUGUAUGGGUAGGUUUUUUCUUCUCCUGCACAUUAUCGCCGCCGUCGCCGCCUUUGUUCAAAUUGAAGAAAUGGGCUGCCAUAGUAAGAGUGAAAUUGGGGGAGAAAUGGUACAUCGUGAAAAAUAAUCACGGUGCUGUGGAUCUGGAAAGAAAACGCAGGUGUAGGAAGGGUGAGCCGGUGGUUGGGCAGCGGCGUGGGGAGAAGAAGGGUUGAGUUGGGUGGUGGGUGGGGUGCAUCGGGGAAGAAGACUACUUUUUCUUCCUUUUCCUUUUUUUUAACUUAAAAUAUAAUAAAAUAAUAAUAUAAAACAUAUAAAAUAUUUUAAUACAACUAUAUAUAUUUAAUUUCUGUUUAUAUUUUAUUUUUAUAAUUACAAAAUUAUUAAUGUGUAUAAAAUUAAA